CCCUAUGCUGAAAAAAUACCUAACUCCUAUAAUAAAGGUGAUAGUAAAAUUAAACUCGUAAAAACCGGACAAGUCGGCUUUGAACGCGCGUUCGGUAAAGUCGAACGGGCGAAUAACCCGAAAGGGGGGAGCCUCGGGGAGGGGCUGGUGUAAGAACACCGGCCGGAAAUUCGCGAGAAUGCGUUCGGACAAGUUAAUGUGCCGUGGUGAAGAGUCGAGAGAGCGAAGUCGAGCUGCACGUCUGCACCGUCGGGCUGGUU